AGUGAACGCUGGCGGUAGGCCUAACACAUGCAAGUCGAACGGCAGCACAGUAAGAGCUUGCUCUUACGGGUGGCGAGUGGCGGACGGGUGAGGAAUACAUCGGAAUCUACUUUUUCGUGGGGGAUAACGUAGGGAAACUUACGCUAAUACCGCAUACGACCUACGGGUGAAAGCAGGGGAUCUUCGGGCCUUGCGCGAUUGAAUGAGCCGAUGUCGGAUUAGCUAGUUGGCGGGGUAAAGGCCCACCAAGGCGACGAUCCGUAGCUGGUCUGAGAGGAUGAUCAGCCACACUGGAACUGAGACACGGUCCAGACUCCUACGGGAGGCAGCAGUGGGGAAUAUUGGACAAUGGGCGCAAGCCUGAUCCAGCCGUACCGCGUGGGUGAAGAAGGCCUUCGGGUUGUAAAGCCCUUUUGUUGGGAAAGAAAAGCAGCAGGUUAAUACCCCGCUGUUCUGACGGUACCCAAAGAAUAAGCACCGGCUAACUUCGUG
rnacentral:rRNA from 1 species